rnacentral:rRNA from 1 species
UAUAACCGUGGAGGGAAAGUUGAAAAGAACUGUUGCAUUGAGAGAGAGUUCAAGAGUACGUGAAACCGUUCAGGGGUAAACCUGAGAAACCCAAAAGAUCGAAUAGGGGAGAUUCAACGUAAACUCGGUCGAUUGCCGUGUGGUGCGCGAUAAUCGUAGCCUCGGUUGCGAAUACGCCAUCGCUGCGGUUCAUCAUUGAUCGAGCGGGCGUGCACUUCUCCCCUAGUAGGACGUCGCGACCCGUUGGGUGUCGGCCUACGGCUUGCAAUGUCGCCUGUCGCCCGUGGACGUUUACGCGUCUCUCGCGGCAGACCUGCUUUUGCCCGGCCGACUGCCCGGCGGUAUUGAUAUCAUGACAGGUAUUUGGCCGCAUUUUUGUGCGUCCUGGCCCGUCGGCAGGCUCGCCUCGCCCGGUUUCACGGACCUAGCGCCGUUGCCGGGUGCUUGGUGUGGCUGUUAGUCGACGGUGUCCUCGGACUGGCUUUUACCGGGUGGCGACGCUAGUGCUUUGGGUACUUUCGAUGACCCGUCUUGAAA